UACGGGGGGGGCAAGCGUUGUUCGGAAUUACUGGGCGUAAAGGGCUCGUAGGCGGCCAACUAAGUCGGAUGUGAAAUCCCCAGGCUUAACCUGGGAACUGCGUCUGAUACUGGAUGGCUUGAAUUCGGGAGAGGGAUGCAGAAUUCCAGGUGUAGCGGUGAAAUGCGUAGAUAUCUGGAGGAAUACCGGUGGCGAAGGCGGCAUCCUGGACCGACAUUGACGCUGAGGCGCGAAAGCGUGGGGAGCAAACAGG
rnacentral:rRNA from 1 species